GACGAACGCUGGCGGCGUGCCUAAUACAUGCAAGUAGAACGCUGAAGCGAGGAGCUUGCUCUUCUUGGAUGAGUUGCGAACGGGUGAGUAACGCGUAGGUAACCUGCCUUGUAGCGGGGGAUAACUAUUGGAAACGAUAGCUAAUACCGCAUAACAAUGGAUGACACAUGUCAUUUAUUUGAAAGGGGCAAUUGCUCCACUACAAGAUGGACCUGCGUUGUAUUAGCUAGUAGGUGAGGUAAUGGCUCACCUAGGCGACGAUACAUAGCCGACCUGAGAGGGUGAUCGGCCACACUGGGACUGAGACACGGCCCAGACUCCUACGGGAGGCAGCAGUAGGGAAUCUUCGGCAAUGGGGGCAACCCUGACCGAGCAACGCCGCGUGAGUGAAGAAGGGUUUCGGAUCGUAAAGUUCUGUUGUAAGUCAAGAACGGGUGAGAGAGUGGAAAGUUCACACUGUGACGGUAGCUUACCAGAAAGGGACGGCUAACUACGUG
rnacentral:rRNA from 1 species